rnacentral:tRNA from 1 species
AUAAAGGUAGGUUACAAAAACCCCCGAAUUGUGGUUCCGGAAACGUCAAAAGACCCUUUUUC